AAGAAGAAAGGUGGAGGGAGAAGAAGAGGAAGAAGGAAAAAAAAUGAAGGAAAAGAAGAAAGAGAAAGGGAGGGAGAAAGAAGAAGAAAAAGGGGAAAAAGGCGGUGAAAGAUUCGGGACUUGACCGACGCGCGUGAUGGAUUGGACGGCACGCGGCGAAAUUUACGGGGACGGAAAAAGAUGGUUUGACGAGCUGGGGCCAGGACGCUGGGUCCGUCGGAAAGGAAAAGAUUUGACGGAGCUCAGUGGUCGGAAAAAUUUUGGAAUGUAUUUUUAACGAGUGAUUUAAUUGGGUGUAUUUUUAUGGGCGUUACAGUCAUUGAUGACAACCUUGAUUAAAGCUUACAAAAGAUAUAUCAAAAAGCUUUUGAGUGCUGAGAUUUAAAUAGAGCUCCCCCUUAACAUGUGCAUAGUAUUCUUUUUUCAUCAAAUUUCGCCUAAAAUGCCAAUUUGCAUAUUCUCAAGACAAACAUGGAGCUGCCCCUGAAUCUCAGCAUCCGUGGGGUGCAAAACAAGCAUGUGAACAAAUAACACGUGAUGCAUGUAGCAAAUAUUCCACCAAUCAAAUAAAAUGAGAGAAGGUGGUGUUGUCUGCCAGGCCAAAAUCGGAACCUCCGAUUCUAAGAAACCAGAACUUCCGUUUUCUGCCUGACAGCACUUAUCAAAGACAGUCAUCAACCAAUAAAAUCACAAUAGCAUGCAAAUGAGUUUAAUAAAGCUUAAACAGGUUUAACGCACAUAGUAGCACACAUAGUAGCUAAGAUUGAAUUUAUUACAGGGGCCUAUUGCAUCCAACAGCUAGAAAUCAGAACAUUCGGUUCUGGAAAACCAAAACCUCCGGAUUUGCUAGACAACAAUUGACAAAAGCUUGGACCAAAGCUUUAAUACUUAACUUCUUCUCCCCCUUUGUCAUCCAUCACCACAAAAGAUCUUGGGGGCUUUUCUUAGCUUCUAGUAUUCAGCUAAAUCAUCAUGGGGCUCCCUAUCACCAUCAUUGCCACUCGGGCCACCAAAAGGAGGAGGAGGAUUUUGUGGAAAAUCCAAUGAACAUCGAAGCAAGAUGUUGUGCUGCAUCUCUAGGGAUGUUUGGGUCAACAGUGGAGGGCUGAGGAGUGUUGGUGCCAAGAAACGGAUCACUAGAAGAAGAACCACCACCACUAGUCAUACCACCAAAUGUGGGAUUAUAAUAACCAAAUGUCCUUCCCCAAUAAUCAACAGUUUGAUCAUUCUCCCACUGUUGUUCAAUUGUUUCCGGCUCACUUUCUUGACCAUCGGAGCCAAUAUGAGAGGGAGGAUAGUUUGGCAUGUUGAGCCCUUGCAUUUGUUUGUGCUAUAUUGUGUCCUUUCUCUUUUGCCUCUCCUUAUGCAACUUGGUGUUCAUAGAGCUGCACAUGCCCGUAAAGAAGUUGAACAUUUUGCAAAGAGGGGAGGGAGGCUUAUACCUUGCUUGAGAGCCACUAGCACCACCUUAUGUAGAUGUGGUCCUUGCUACCCUAGAUGGUGCAGCAGCUCUAGAUGGUGCAGCAGCACUAGAAGGAGCACCGGAAGGGGUAGCAGCACUAGAAGGUCCCUCUAGCUCAAUAGAUGGACUAAAAACACCUUCGGGAGGGUUGAAAAACUGCUCAAGUGUUGGCCCAUCAAUGUCAUUCUUCAAAUGAUAUGGCUUGUGGAUGUGAUCAUACUCAAAUCGAAGCCAUGUCACAUGCUCAAUCACAUGCAUAAGAUAAGGAUCAUAUCCACAACACUUUUGUGGAGAGCUCACAAUCUCUUUUAUCUCCUCCCAAAUGUAAUCCACCAUACUAAAAUCACUUGCGCUAGGUGACAUGGCCUCAAGUAAAUUCCGACCAUAAAAAGUGAUCUUGCUAGCAUCACCUUCUCUUGGUGCGAGUGUUUUUCUAAACAACCGGUUAAGAUAGCCAUAGAAUGGAAUCAUGUUAUGUGUCUCUCCAUAGUUGACCAGUUGAGGUGUGAGAUACAUUCCGUACAUUGCACCUUUUGAUAGAGAUUUGCUAAUAUGAAUCCUCACAAGGUCUAGAUCAUCCGGUGCUAAAGCCAAGGAGUGAAGCAAAUUCCCUUAUGGAUAUUCCAUAACAAUUUCCUUCCGUCAUCCAAUGCACCCACCUCACAUUUUUUAUCACAUUAAAGUAGCAAGUGGCAUAGAAUUGAGCAAUGAUUUCUCUAUUCCAACUAUGUUCAAAGCCCAUGAUGUAAUACACAUUUUUGUCCUUGCAAGCUUGUAUCACUUCAUUUACCAUGGGGUCUCUCAAAUUUGCCAAGUGAGGCCAAUCAAUGAAUUGAGAGCGAGCAAUGGGUACACCUUUAGCAAGAAUAGCACUCUCAUAGAAGUUUUGGUAAAAAUCUGUGUAGAAUCUAUAAUCCACAUUUGCCUUUCCAAUUUUCUGGGGAUUCUUUUCUCUUUCUUUUCGGCAAAUUUCAGUCAUUCCCGCAGCCUUGUAGUUCACUUUGACUCUAUAAAUAGCUGCUUGAGGUGCUCUCAUCCUUGCUUCUCAAAGGACACCUGAUUGUGAAGGUUGAAAAUGAGAUGUAGGCAUGUCAAAAUCAUCACCUUCUUCUUCUCCAUUGUUACCACUGCCAGUACCUUGACUAUCCUCAUGACUGCUGGUCCUUAUGGCUUUGCCCUUCCUCUUCAAGCUCUCACAAGGUGGCUGCACAUAGGUCGCAUCCUCAGUCUCCUCAUCAUCACUAGAUGUGUCAUUCUCAUCACUGCUGGGAUUUUCAAUGCGAAUGGUCCCUCUGGAUAGUUCUCGUGUGACGGUGGCCCUCUGAGAUCUCCUAGGCUGCACUGGUGGAUCAUUGCUUGGAUUUGCUUUCUCUUUUCCCCUUCUCCGAAAAACAAUGUCCUUGCUUCCCCUUGGAGGAUCUGUGUCAAACAUGUGCAAUAGGCUUAGAAAUGAACCUCUGACAGUUAAACCAAUCUAUCCCUUCAGAUGAAAUGAUGAUAUGGAUAGAGAGGAAGGAUGAACUCGGGUGUCCCUGCCCAAACUGGAACUUCCGGUUCCUGAAAUCUGGAACUUCUAGUUUUGGCAGCGAAACCCUAGAUCAUAAAUCCAUCCGUUCGACCAUGGGAAAUUGAAUCCAUUACUAGGAAUAGCAUCUAGGGUCUAAAUGUAGAUGUUUUGACCAAGGGAAACUCAGUGAUAAACCCUAGAAAAGUAGAUCAGGGAUGAACUCGAUUUAGGGUACCUUAAGACAUGUUUUUGAAAUUCUGCAGGAGAAAAACGGAGGGGAAACGGAUCCUCCGGUCGUGAAUCGGAAGAAUCAACCACCAAUCCUUGAAUCCCAUGGUUGAAUCUUCGGAUCUCCUUGAAUUGCCCCUUUUUCACCUCUCCCCACUAUUCCUGGUCGGGCUUGAGUCGAUAGGGAUGAAUGGGAGAGAGAAGGGGUAAGACCCGGGCCCAUAGGAAUAUAACCGUUGGGGGGCCGAUGGAAACCAGAACUUCCGGUUUCAACUUAACUCGCUAAGAAAAUCUAAACUUUCUCAAAUGAGAUGGAUUUGAUUGUUCUAGAGACUCAGAUUGGGAUCCAUAUGUAAAUUUGUUCCUCAUGAGAUAGAUUUUGAUCAUGGGUGAUGGCAUUUCCUAUUGAUAAGAGAUUUGGGAUAGAAUGUCCAAAAUAUAGCCCUUGAGACGAGAUAAAAAGAAGAUCCUAUGGACUUGAGAGAGUUUCACCAUUUGUGGUUAGCCAGCAAACAAGCAAGUAUAACCAUAACUACAAAUGGGUCAACAUGGCCACAAAGACCAAGAUUCAAAUAGUUUUUCAAAAAGCACACUUCUUAGUUAAAAAAAUUUAAAAAAAAUUAUCCUAUCUCACGCAGAGCAUGCAAUGAUCAUAUAGACAAGAUAAGAAUUGGUAUGUUUAACUCAUGCUCUCUUUGACCGUUUAAAAGGACAUAGAACAUAUUCUAGUCAACAAAGAUAGAGAGGCAUCAAUUAAAUAUUCAAAAACCAUCACAACCACAAAGGUGAGACUAACAAUCUUUGCAUGCCAAACACACUAGCAUGAAUAAGCCUAGAUGCAUAAGGUAAAACAAGGAGUUUGAGAGAUUUCAUACCUUAGCCCUAGAACAAGACUUCUUCACUUAGAAGAAUGAUGGAACCAUUUUCUUCAAUAGGAUAUUUUUUAAGCCCAAUUACUAGCUCCAUUAGAUGCCAUCAAGCCCUCAAGUUAAAUUAUUUGUCAUAGUGUUUAUAGCAUAUGACAUAAGUAUUUGCUACACACAUGAGAGCUUGAAAAGGAGUUAGUAGAUAGAACAUAAAAUAUGAGACAAGCUCCCCCUUAAUAUGUGCAUCAAAGAUUUGAAUCUUGAGACAUGCACUUUUGGUUCAUUUAAGGGACUAGAGAUGCUUGACCCAUAUUUUGAGUCACAAGAGUAGAAUCAUGCUAAGUGAUUAAGUUUAGAAUUGCUCAUAGUGAUGUGACCUGAGGUGAAGCAUGAGGUCUGAUCAUAAAAAUUAUAUUCACCUUUGUUAACUUGUACUUUUAUUUCAUUGAUUUAGACCCAGCUCAAUGAUGAUAGAUCCGCACUUUUCAGAAACUUCAGCAGAAAGUUGCGAAAUCUCUGCAGAUUCUCUCUUCAGAGAAAACGAACCUUUCAGAUUCAAAGACAGAACCUCCGAUUUUUGCUUUAGCAUAUCAACGUUGAGGAUCUGCUGACAUCCUUGACUUCUUUUCUUAAAUACAACAUUAUCAUUUGUGAUCUGCAGGUGUAUUUAUCACAAAGCUCAUCUAAUGGCAUGAGAGAUAAAUAUUACUUAACUAGACCAAGAAUGCUAUCUAGUUGUUGUAUAUGAGAGGGUUUUACCUGUAUGCCAUUAUGAAAGUUGGGUCCAACCUCCAUGCCCCUAAAAAGUUCGUCGACACCUGUAUGCCCAAGUGCAACUUUGUUUAUCCCUUCAUGCCAUUCCGUCCCUAUUCCGUUCGGUUUUGACCGUUUGAGAGCUCUUACAAGCGGGCCCAGGUAGUGAAAAUGUCCAUUGUACCCUUUGUGUCUCAGGCAGAUCGGACAGUGAGAAGGAGCUAGGGGAUCUGAAGUUCCCAAGGCCAUUCCUCCUUGAGCUUGCGGCCAGUUGGCCAGGAUGCGGCCAAGCAGCCGAGCGCGUCACCCUCCUUGAGCUUGCUCUCGACCUCCUCCUCCUCCCCGUCCUCCCCGCCGGCCUCCGACGAGGAGUUCUCCCCGAUCAACGCCGCCGCCUGCCCGCACCUCCCGCCAGCACCUCAUCGACGCCACCGCCCGCCCGCACCUCUCGUUGCUCCACCUCCCCGUCGCCGCGCUCCCGCCGCCCGAGAUCGGCGCCGGUAGGGACCCGCUCCUCUGCCCGGGACCGGUGCCGGCGGGGACCGCUCCUCCGCCCGGGACCGGCGCCGGCGGGGACCGCUCCUCCGCCCGGGACCGGCGCCGGCGGGAACCCGCUCCUCCCUCCAAUGUGCAAUCCCCCACGCUGCUGCCGCCACCUCGUCGCCUUGGCACGCUCAAAUGUAACGCCGCGGCAGCACCACCACUUGCCAGGCCUCCAACUCCAACAACCACCGCGAUGACGUCCCACUCUGCCCUCGUGAGGUGGCUCUCCACCACCGCCCGCUCCCCGCCGCCGACGCCGCGCUCCCUCCCUGCCAGCCUCGCCUUCCUCUUCCUCUCCCUGUGCCCGCAGCGCGCGCUCCUCGCCACCCUCGACCUCGUGUUCCUCCUCACCGCGCUUGCGCUCGCCCUCCACACCUGGCACACUCGCCGCCACAAUGACGGCGGCGGCAUCGAACACCGCACGACAAAGCGGGAGCCCCUCCUACCUCGACGGCGGGUCCCCGCCGCGGAGGUAGCACCCGGCAUGGGCUAACGCUCGCGGCGUCCGGGGCCCAGGUGGCGACGGCGCUUGUGCUGCUGGUGUCCGCGCUCCUGCGCCUCCGCCGGGGGGCCACGGGGGCGUGGGUCGCGGCAGAGUGCGUGCUCCUCGCCGCGCACGUCGUGGCGCACAUCACGGCCGCGGGGGUCAUUGUGGCGGAGAAGAAGCUUGGGGCGGCCGCGCUGACCGUCCACCCGCUGCACCUCAGGCUGUUCUGGCUCGGCACGGCGGCUUUCGCCAUGCUCUUCUCCGGGUGCACGGUCGCCAGGUACACCGCCGGGGAGCUCUCCUCCUAGAUGACCCACUCGCGUUCGCGUGGCUGGCGCUCUCGCUCCCGCUGCUGUAGUUCUCGGUCACCGGCUCCACUGGCCUCGCCGUCGUCAGCGCUUCGUCCGACAUUGGCCAUGCCGCCGCGGCAGAGGUGACGUACGCCACGGGGACAAGAUCCGUGAGCUCCGAGAGGAAGAGGUCGGGUGGCUGGCCAAGUUCAUGUACUUCAUGUGCGCCAACACCAUCGUGACAAAGGGUACAAUGGACAUUUUCGCUGCCCGGACCCGCUUGUAAGAGCUCUCAAACGGCCAAAACCGAACGGAAUAGGGACGGAAUGGCAUGGAGGGAUAAACAAAGUUGCACUUGGGCAUACAGGUGUCGACGAACUUUUUAGGGGCAUGGAGGUUAGACCCAACUUUCGUAAUGGCACACAGGUAAAACCCUCUGUAUAUGAUUAGCACAUGAGCAUGUUCAUAUACAACUAGCUAGAAAGCUAGGAGUAAGGUACUUGUUACCAAGGAUGCAUUUGAAGAAUAGAACGGUUCAUAUGUUUCCUCUUGGCAUUGUUUCUUGAAUAGACAUGAAGUUCCCACUUGAGCCAAAGAUAGAAGAUAAAGCUCUUCCCAACUGUGCCAAGCUCCAAUGCAUCUAUAAAUACCUGUAGAGAACUUUCAAGCACACUUUGGUACCCAAACCAUGUUGGGCCCACUAGAGUUAGUCAACAAGUUCUUAGGUGCCAAAUAGCUUUUGUGCUAGCCUUAGGUGAGUGAGUCACUUUGGCAGCACAAGAGUCAUUUAAGUUCUUCCUAAGCUCCUUAGAAUCAUAAUGAAUGGACUUGAGCUCAGGAGAAUUACCAUUUGGGCAAUCCUUACCAAGAUGACCCUUCUUUCAACAUUCAUAGCAAAUUUUGUGCCUGAUGUUGCUUGUUGCUUUCUUGUCUUGAUUUCUGACAGCAACACCUCCCAUAUAUAUUUUUCUUGAGCUUUAAGGAAGCCUUUGUUCAGCUUGAUAUGGGUCUCACAGCCAAAACCGGUACCUCUGGUUUUGCGAAAUUGGAACCUCUUAUUUUUCCAGAGUGAGACACAUUUCUUGUACAGGACGCAAUCUUGUGUCCUUUUUCAUGACAGCUGAAGCAUCUCCUUUUUGCUUGGCUUCUUUGUCUCUUGGAGAGUGCUGGCUUGUCUUCUUUCUUCAUUAGGCAUGUGGAAGCAAAGUGUCCCAUUUUUGAGCACUCGAAACACUUAAUGUGAUCAAGUCUUUUCUUCUUGUUUUCUACUUCAGCUUUGCAAUGGACUUGAUAGAGUUGUUGUAGGAGCGUUGCAGAGUUGAUCCUUUCUCAAACUUCUUCACCAUGGAAUCACGGUUAUUUUGAGAAGGUUGUGCAAUGCUCCUGUCCUUUAGCCUAGACAAGUCCAUUUUGAGCUUCUCGACCUCUUGCUUCAAAUUCUCAUUCUCUUGGGUAAUGAGAUCAUCACACGACUCUAUAAGAACUUGAUCAUACCAAGAAACUUUUGCUUGCAAGUCGCAAGGGUUAGCACAAGAUAUAUUAUUUAUAGCUAUUGAGCAUGUACACUUGUGCAAUUGAGGUUUUGAGGAUUUUACCGUGGCAAUCAUAAUCUCAUGAGCCACUUCAAGCAUAGUAUGUGAUUCCACAAGUUUCCCAUCAGAACAUUCUAGUUCUUUGUGAGUAGCUUGCAAGUUCACAUACUUGCUAGAGAACUUCUCAAGUUGAGCCUUGAGCUUUUGGUUUGCAUCCUCCAGUGGUGCUACACAUGAAAGAGAGUUCAUAGCACAUGCAUAUCCUUUUUCUAGAUCUUUACAUUUAUCAAAUAAGGAUACAUUGGAUUCAUUGAGCUUCCUCAUUUCUUCUUUGAGAGACUUGAGUUCUUUGAGUCUUUCAAUAAGAUAAUCCUCUUAUCUCUUUACUUGUACACUGUCUUCAUGAGUUUGACUAUCUCUUCCUUAUCUCUUUUAGACAUCUUGUCAAACUCAAACUCAAACUCAAACUCUUCAUUUUUGUCUUCUCAUUUCUUCUCACCUAUAGCCAUGAGCAUUGAUGGGUGUACUGGUGUGAACAUGAGUGAUUUGGACAAGUGGACUCUUCAUGAGGUCGAUGACAUGAAUCAUCUUUACUGAGGGAGCAGUCAACGGUCACCUCGCUGAUAGAACUGGAGCAUCCGGUUUCCAAAACCGGAACCUCCAGCUUCACUUCAUCAGCUGAGGCAGGAGAGUUCUUGUGAUCUCUCGGUUGAGUUGGUUGAGUCUUUUCUUCUAACUCACUGCCAUUUUGACUAUGGUAUUCACAAGCACCAUACAUAUCUUUCAGAGUAAUCCAUAUACAAUGCGCAUCAUGAUUUGUAUGAUAGUCGUCAUCCUCAUCCAUAAUAGCAUCUAAUACAUCUUCACUCAAAGCAUGGAUUAAAACAUAAGAUGCUUGAGCGUUGAGUUGUAGGCAUUUCUCUUCCUCUUGGGUUAAUUUUGACCGAUUAACAUUUGAAGGAGAAAUGCUCACAACUACAACCUGCUAGAUUUGAGGACCCAUGGCCCUAAAGAUAUCAAGUACAAGAGCAGACCAAGAGUCAUAGUUCAAGCCAUCAUAGAUGAGUGGCUUGAAGUCAAAGGUUACCUCGUAUAGUGUCGACAACUUUUUUCACGACGGUUAAGCUUGGGUGUGAGUCCAGACUCUGAUACCAAUUGAAAGGAUCUUGAUGUCGUCUAAAGGGGUGAAUAGGCGUAACCCAAAAUCGUCGCCACUUAAAAUAAGUUCAUCAGCGACUUGCGGAUUAUUUCAGAAAUACUUUCGGAGAUUGCGCAAAUUAAGGAAUCCCCAAAGAAAUCUCCAGAAUCUCCAAAAAUAGGAAACACAUGCCUUAAGCAGUGGAAUAAAAUUAUCUGCCUGAAAAUCGGAACUUCUGAUUUCAAAACUGGAACCUCUGGUUUUGGCUCGAGCAGGGAGAAACCCCAAACCUUAUGCAUUGCAAGUGAAAUAAAGAUCAAACCAGAUUUAGAGAGAUGCUCAUUAUGGUGCUUCUUAGUAGGAUCACAAAGUUCCUGCACUUCACAAACACUAGCACCCGAAUAGAUCAACCAAUAUUAUGAGAUCACAAUGAAAUAGAAGUGCAAUGCAAAUCUAAGCAAACCAGUGAGGAGACACAGUGAUUUGUUUCACCGAAGUUUAGAUUCACCCCUGGGAAAAUCCUACAUCUCCGUUAGGUGCUUCCAAAGAAGCCGGAUUGCACUCAACCCUUUCCCCACUUCACUAGUGAGACACAGUGAUUUGUUUCACCGAAGUUCAGAUUCACCCUCGGGCAAAUCCUACAUCUCCGUUAGGUGCUUCCAAAGAAGCCGGAUUGCACUCAACCCUUUCCCCACUUCACUAGUUAGCUUCUUGCCUUUCGGAGAUGAAGCUUGACCUGCACAAACUGUCCUGUGGCUCACCACACCUUGGGAGCUCUUGGGCGAUGCCUAGCCGUCUAGGAGGAACACCUACAAAAGUAACAAAUGCUUCACUUGAAACUUGGCAAGGCAGACCAGUGCUCAAGCGUAUGAGUGCUCUUUUAGUGCUGUCAAAUGACUCCUCUCUACUACCCAACUCACAAGAUCUAGCAAAGAUCACACUAUCUCACAAAGCGGGGUUGGGGAGAGCUAUGUGGCUUUAGUUCAGCUAAGAACAAGCAAGAAGCACACCAUCAACUACAAAAACAGCAACCAACCACUGAGGAGGUCGUGGGGUAUAAAUACUCCACUCCCCAAAAACUAGCCGUUAGAGUUGUUAGACCAAAAUCGGAACUUCCAAUUUUCUAAAACCGGAAUCUCCGGUUUUUCAAACCAACUAGCCGUUAGGUGUUAAAUUCAAAACUUUUCUGGAACUUUCUCCAAAAACUCUGGAACUUCCAGAAACUCCUCCAGAAACUCCAAAACUUUUUGUUUUGCCACUUCCUGACCCGUUAGUGUGUACGUGUAGCUUUUGUGUCUCUCAUCCCUCACAUACAUAGGAUAUUUGAGCACUGAGACUUUGUCAAAUGACCAUAUGAUGUAUCCCUCUUGACAGUAUGGCACACCUAUACUCAAGAUCAAAACAUAAAUACCGUAUUCAUCCUCUUGAGCUUCUUUACCAUGAACCAUGCCAUACUUUGAUAAUCAGAUCAACUUGAGAGCUGCAUCCAUUCUUGUCUCUUUGGUUUGAGCACUGCAACCUUGAGCUAGUGACUUGGAUCAAUAUUCAACCGCAUAUGAAUGAAACCCAAUUUUUUAUCACAAGUCACUUCCUCAUAUGACUCAAUGAACAUUUGAUGCAUUCAAUUGCUAUACUCAGUAAGGCUUGACUUGAUACCUCAAAAUCCUCCAAGCACUAGCCGCUUCACCCUAGCCAAGCUCAUUGCCCAAGUCACUACUUGACCAAACUUUGCCUAGUACCUCGUUGCUAGUCACUUGCUUGAUUUCUUCAUCUAAUCGCUGCCGCAUUUGAUUCUAGCUAUGUUUUGACACCAUGAAUGAAAUUCACUUGAGAUCAUAUCUUUUUUUUUACUUCUAUCCUAUUUGUUCAUAACAAGCUUCUCAUUUUAUUUAGAGACCAACUAAUAUCCCAAUGCCAUCAUGCCUCUAUCUUUCCUUCAAUUUGCUUGUCACAUAUCACACAUAGUCAUUAUGGGAUCCACAUAAUAUUCCUUAUUAUGAUAUUCAUUAUUUAGCUUCAAACAAUCUUGCAAUAUAAGGCUAUCAACCAAACCUCAACUCUUUUUUACACCAUUGCUUGCUUAGAUGAACAAUGCCUUAUACCAUACAUGUUCUUUUCAUUGUAUGAGCCAUUUAAUGCAAUCUUUCCCACAAAGAUUAUUCAUCAAUAGCAUUCUAUCUGCUCAUAGACUUAACAAGUUCAUUAGAUCUUUAAUCAUGUCAUCAUUCAACUCACCAAAACCCACUAGGGGCCUAGAUGCUCUUUCAAUCUCCCCCUUUUUGGUCAUUGAUGACAACCUUGAUUAAAGCUUACAAAAG
rnacentral:lncRNA from 1 species